UUCGAUAUUCGGGACAAAUAUUGUAGGGUGGAAGGGUAAUACUACUUGAGAACAAAUACUUAAUAGUACCACACUUCAUUAUUAUAUAUGUGUCAUGUAUUUGGAAUCCAAAAUUGAUUGACUACCUUCUUCUUCUCCUUCCGGAAGGCAACUCUUUGAAGAUGCCGA
ensembl:ncRNA B0350.69 ncRNA